rnacentral:lncRNA from 1 species
GCGAGCAAUAAGAGUAUAUCAAUCAAAAGGAAAAAAAAUUAGGGUUUACAAACGAAAUGACAUUAUUGUGGAGGAUGUUAGUCAAUGUUAGUCUAAUAGGGAAAUGAAAAAAACAUACCUUUGGAAAAAGAGAUGACGGUGUUUGAACAUGAUACAACAAAACUUCAACAAUAGUGUUAAUCUGCAUAUACACAAAAAGGUUAGAAAAACUCAAAAGACGUUAAACUGUAAAAUUAAACUGGUCAUAUUUAUGCU